UACGUAGGUGGCAAGCGUUGUCCGGAUUUACUGGGCGUAAAGAGCGCGCAGGCGGUCGUUCAAGUCGCGUGUGAAAGCCCACGGCUCAACCGUGGAGGGUCAUUGGAAACUGGGGGACUUGAGUGCAGAAGAGGAGAGUGGAAUUCCACGUGUAGCGGUGAAAUGCGUAGAGAUGUGGAGGAACACCAGUGGCGAAGGCGACUCUCUGGUCUGUAACUGACGCUGAGGCGCGAAAGCGUGGGGAGCAAACAGG
rnacentral:rRNA from 1 species